rnacentral:rRNA from 1 species
GCAUAUCAAUAAGCGGAGGAAAAGAAACCAACAGGGAUUGCCCUAGUAACGGCGAAGUGAAGCGGCAACAGCUCAAAUUUGAAAUCUGGCUUUCGGGCCCGAGUUGUAAUUUGUAGAGGAUGAUUUUGAUGCGGUGCCUUCCGAGUUCCCUGGAACGGGACGCCAUAGAGGGUGAGAGCCCCGUCUGGUUGGAUGCCAAAUCUCUGUAAAUCUCCUUCGACGAGUCGAGUAGUUUGGGAAUGCUGCUCUAAAUGGGAGGUAUAUGUCUUCUAAAGCUAAAUACCGGCCAGAGACCGAUAGCGCACAAGUAGAGUGAUCGAAAGAUGAAAAGCACUUUGAAAAGAGAGUUAAAAAGUACGUGAAAUUGUUGAAAGGGAAGCGUUUAUGACCAGACUUGGGCUUGGUUAAUCAUCUGGGGUUCUCUCCAGUGCACUUUUCCAGUCCAGGCCAGCAUCAGUUUUCGCCGGGGGAUAAAGGCUUCGGGAAUGUGGCUCCCCUCGGGGAGUGUUAUAGCCCGUUGUGUAAUACCCUGGUGGGGACUGAGGUUCGCGCUUCUGCAAGGAUGCUGGCGUAAUGGUCAUCAACGACCCGUCUUGAAACACGGACCAAGGAGUCGUCUUCGUAUGCGAGUGUUCGGGUGUCAAACCCCUACGCGUAAUGAAAGUGAACGCAGGUGAGAGCUUCGGCGCAUCAUCGACCGAUCCUGAUGUUCUCGGAUGGAUUUGAGUAAGAGCAUACGGGGCCGGACCCGAAAGAAGGUGAACUAUGCCUGUGUAGGGUGAAGCCAGAGGAAACUCUGGUGGAGGCUCGCAGCGGUUCUGACGUGCAAAUCGAUCGUCAAACAUGGGCAUGGGGGCGAAAGACUAAUCGAACCUUCUAGUAGCUGGUUUCCGCCGAAGU